rnacentral:snRNA from 14 species
AUAAUCUAAAAUAUCAUUCAAAUCAAACCUGGGAACGAUUGAGAGAAGAUUAGCAUGGCCUCUGCACAAGGAUGACACGCAUAAAUCGAGAAAUGUUCCAAAUAAAG